rnacentral:rRNA from 1 species
UACGUAGGGUGCAAGCGUUAAUCGGAAUUACUGGGCGUAAAGCGUGCGCAGGCGGUUAUGCAAGACAGAUGUGAAAUCCCCCGGGCUCAACCUGGGAACUGCAUUUGUGACUGCAUGGCUAGAGUACGGUAGAGGGGGAUGGAAUUCCGCGUGUAGCAGUGAAAUGCGUAGAUAUGCGGAGGAACACCGAUGGCGAAGGCAAUCCCCUGGACCUGUACUGACGCUCAUGCACGAAAGCGUGGGGAGCAAACAGG